UACGUAGGGUGCAAGCGUUGUCCGGAAUUAUUGGGCGUAAAGAGCUCGUAGGCGGUCUGUCGCGUCUGGUGUGAAAACUCAGGGCUUAACCCUGAGCUUGCAUCGGGUACGGGCAGACUAGAGUGCGGUAGGGGAGACUGGAAUUCCUGGUGUAGCGGUGAAAUGCGCAGAUAUCAGGAGGAACACCGGUGGCGAAGGCGGGUCUCUGGGGCUUUUCUGACGCUGAGGAACGGGAAGCCAGGGUAGCGGAACGGG
rnacentral:rRNA from 1 species